rnacentral:siRNA from 1 species
CACACUGAAGGUCUCCGGUUC